GGAUUAUCCGUCGCUAAACAAAGACAAAUCGUCAGAGUAUCUUGAAACCAGUAGCUACGAAAAACAUUCGUCGUUAGUUUUUUCAAAAGGCAAUUUCGUAGAUAGUAUAUUUUUAGGGCAUUGACAUAACUUGUAUUCUCUCUCUGCCUCUUAGCCGUAAGUGCUCUGGUCUCUUUCUUUUCAAGGGGAUUUUAAUCUAGGGUUUCAGGAUACGGGAGUGCCAUGGCUAGAGUAUAAUAUCUUACAAUUCCAUCCAGUCCCUACUAGGCCUUUCACUACCGAGGCCCUCUCCUUGUUCUAUUUCAGCUUUCAGCUCUUUUGACUUCCCAACCAUGGCCGAACAGAAUCCCCUCUCUCUUUCUCUCAGUCACUUGCUCGCUUGGAAAUCUGAGUGAUUUAUUAUUGUAUUGUUGCAUACAAGAAAGCAUUCUUGAAGCAGCUAGGCAAAUACAUCUUCAUGUGUUAGGUCUUAUACAUUUUUUAGGCUAAGGUUAGUCAUAUUUGUGUGAAUGACAGCUCAAAGAAAAAAAAAAAGACAAGGAAGGGAGGCAACCAUUAUUUUUAGAGCAUUGGUCUAGGCUCCCAGACUCCUCGAGAGGCUGUUGAAGAGCUUGAAGCAGAAAGAGUACAAGAGUUGUGUUGUUAAGCUAAAUCUUGAUGAAACCCUUUAUGAUGGUUUGCAACAUAAGUCUUCCCAAAGUGAUUCAAGCUAGGGUUUGGGUGCUCUUCAUUAGAAAAGUGAUUUGUUAAACCUUGUUUAAAAAAUUAAGGUAACGGAGAAGUGCAGGUUCGUGAUACUCUCGACGCUUAGGAGAACUUGCUGCUGCUGUUGAUUUGGUGAGCCCACAUCCUUAUUCGUGGGACACUUUCUGUUUCAUUUAUUAUUCUAGAUUUUCGGGCUGCGUCCCGAAGUUAGACUAUUGUCAUGUCUCUUAGAAGCUCCAUAGAUAGUUGUCAGAAUUGUGGGUAGAUUUUGUCAAAGUCUCGUACGACUUAAUGGGUGUUUGCCACGUUGAUGACUAUCACUUAUAUUAGACUUCCGCUGAUCUUAUUUCAUAA